AAUGUCAAUCGUCAGCCUGUUGACGAUUGAGCAAUCAAGUAUUGUAAUUGAUUUGUUAAUAAAUAAAAUAUAUUUUUGGUAUUUUCAUCAUAAAUUUUUAUCUUCUAAUGAACUCCGUUGUUAUGAUAAAGUCCUUAGGACUAUUAAAGUUCGAUAAAGAGAGGAUUUAUCGAUUAAUCUUUAAAAUUAUUCACGACCAAAUGAUAGGCUAUUAAUAAGGAUGACAGCCUCC
rnacentral:lncRNA from 1 species